CGUGGGCACAUGCCGUCACCGUAGCAACAGCACGUGUGUCCACGUGUGUGCAUAGAAUUUUGCAGGACGUUAUUCAGCAAUUAGUGCAGCGCACCAUCAUCGCCAUCACUGAUAAGCUUCGGGAUGGAGACGCUGGUUAGUGAAUAAAAGGGGGCGGGGCAAUGAGUUUAUUUUUCUGUGUGUUUGCAUUAUUGUUUCUGUUGCUGUGUUUGUUCGUGUGUGUGUGUGUGUGUGUGUGUGCGAAGGGCCCCCCCCCCAAAACCCCUCAACAAAAACCAGACUCAGUGUGGAUAUUCAGACUCAGACUGAGGGGAGGGCGGGGGGGGGUCGUGCCUGGAGUGAUGCAGUCACCAUAGCGACACUAGUUUCCUCAGCAACCCACUAUUGUUGCCAUGGCAUCUUUGCGCAGUUUCCACAGUAACCCUCCAGAUGGCAUUGGAGUCCCAGGGUAGAGCUAAUGAUGCCUUUGAUGAUGAUGAUGAAGAUUGUUACGAGGAUGAUGAUGAGGAUGAUGAUGGGGAAGAUGGGGGCAGCUCCAUCCACACCAGAGUCGUAAGGAACAGCAACAGUGAGGAUGACAAAGAUGAAGGCCUGAUGGAGGUUCUGCUGAACUGUUUUCUCUCUGCUUCAGCUCUGCUGGAGGUGGAGGUGCCUUCAACUCCCCACCCCAGUCUCGCCCCGCCUCAGCCUCGGCCUCAGCUCUAAAGCACCACCUGCCUUUCUUCGUCCCGUACACCGUCUCGCUCUAUUUACACAGACAUUCACCUCUUUUCCACUUGUAAGGUGCUGGAGCUCUGGAGUCAUCAGAUCUUUUUCAAACGCAGCAGUGUUUCCACUGAGUCAAGAGCCAAACCAUAACUUAGCUGGAUGUGAGUAUGGCUUAGCAUAGAGCCCAACAUGUCAGGAUUCAGACUAGUUUUAUAUUUGCACCAUUCUGUACCAUUUUUACACAUUCCUGACUCUCUUUUUAUAUGUAAAGCACUUCCCACAUGAUUCAAAUGGUUCAUUAAGGGUUUAUUUGUGAAGAAAGCGGUUCUAUAUAUAAUCAUGAACACUUAAAGAACUCUUUGCAUGAUUCAAAGAAUCUUUGCAUGGUGAAAUGUUUCUUCAGAUUGAUAUAGAAUGUGCUUUAGAUGGUUUUACAUAGAACCAUUUUGAAAAGCGUUCUACAUAAUCACCAGAAAUGGUUCUUCUACUGUGAUAAGCUUGACAUUAGAACUCUUUGUGGUGCCACAUGAAACCCUUUGCAAAAAGUUUCUAUAUAGAGCCAUCCACAACAAAUUAUCCCUUAGUCUGAAGAAUGGUUUAAUGAUGUAAAAAAACCUUUUAAGCAUGCAAAGGGUUCUUUAAUUGUUUUUGAUUCUAAAUAGAUCCAAUUUACAUUUUUUUUAGUAAAGAACCCUUGAAGAAUCAUCCAUUUGUAGACCUGGCCUGUAACUCACUCACAAUUAGGAGGCUUAGGAUUGUCCACAAGGGGGUGCUGGUAACACUAAAAAAGGGCUUUGAUGCUUUGCAUCAAUGACAUUGUGUCCUUUUUUAGCUUUUUUCUUAUUUUUUUAUGAUUUUUGUUUCGUUUAGGCCAGCUUUAAGUAUCUCCAGUUAUGUGCCCAAAUAAGGAACACUGGGUAUAAACAGUUUUUCUCUAAUAGAAAAAUGAUUAACAUGUCUGAAAAUCUUCAUGUCUCACCCUUUGAUAAACAAAAAUGUUCCUUAAAUAUUAUGUUCAUCCCUGCAUACAUAUUUCCUCUAAAUGUCUCUAGUUCCUCUGAAUUACACGAUUGUUUAGAAUGCUAACACUACUACAAACACACUGACACAAACAAGCUAACUUUCCUUCACUAUGAGGCAUUUUCAUGUGAAAAUAAAGUUACACAAUAAAGAUGAUUCUUCAAAGGGUGUUUAGUAAAGGUCCUGUAUAGAACUUUUGAAAAAGGUUCUAUUUGGCACCAAAGGAGUUCUUCUAGUGGGACAAGCUUGACCCAUUUUCAGAAAGGUUCCAUAUUGGACCAUAUACAACACAUUUUUCAUCAAUCUGAAGAAAGCUUUCACAAUGCAAAGGAUUCUUAAUCAUGCAAAGAGUUCUUUGAGUAUUCAUUGUUCUAGAUAGAACCAUUGUCUUCACUAAAGGACCCUUGAAGAACCAUCUUUUUAAAGAGCAUGCUACUGUUCAAGUUCAUAUUACUCCACACUCAGGUUUCUCAGGUUUGGUAUGAGAUGAUAAAUAGCUGACUUGCUCAUAUAGUAGCUUCCUCUGUAUUUUAAUUAAUGAAAUGUCCUUGAGGUAACAUUUACAACGAGAAAAGCAAGAGCCCUAAAAAUGAACAUUGUGGCAGUUUAGUUCUUUUUCCAGGAGAAUGCUUCAAGACUGGCCACCUGCUCCACAAGCACUAGCACCUUAUAACUGGAAAAGUGUGUGUUAGGGACCUGUGCGUGUUUGUGUGUUGUUUCUGCUGCUAUAAGUGUGUGAAGCUCACUGAAGUGCUCCUUCGUGCCCUCGCCUUUCUGCUCUGCUGGAAAACAGGAAGCGGCGGCUAAUGCUAGUUUAUGCUAGGUCCAUCAGUUUUCAUGUGCUGUCAGGAUGUGAUGUCGUCUUUGACGUAGCUGUAUAAAACUGAUAGAUAUAAGCACAGUCUGAUCCCUGUGUGUUUGAGUCUGUUGGGGGGGGUGGUGUUGGGGGUGGUAGAAUGUGCUGUACAUUAUUCUCCUUUUUCAAAAGGGUUCUACAUAGCCCCCUAAAGGGUUGUUCUAUUGUUACAAGCUUGACAUCAUCCCAAUAGACGAAAGCUUUUUGGUGCUAUACAGAAUCCUUGUCAAAAAGUUUCAAUAUAGAAUCAUCUACAGCAAAUUCUUUAGAACUCUUUCAUAAUACAAAGUGCUCAUGGUUCUUUAUGAAACCAUUUUCCUUACUAAAGAACCCUUUUUUAAGCGUACCAUGUACUGCUGGCUAUAAAAAUGGACAAAACAUUUAUGAAUGUCUACAGAAAUGAGCAAGAUGUACGUGCAAGUUUUGCACAAAAGUACAUUAGCAUCACUAAAGACACUGUCAAACUGAAUUUUGGCUGUACGUUUCCUGUACAUUGUACAUUGGCUGUACAAGUCUUUUAGAGAGCACUUAACACCCCAACACAGUUAGUCAAAUUUGUGAUGCUGUAGACAUUCAGUUAGCACCAUGCUAAUUGUUGUUAGCAAAAUCUUCUAUUAUUUGUACACUACAUUAGCCUCGUAGCUCCAGCACUAAAGGCCAAACUUCAGGCAACACAUCUUGGCUGAUGAAAUACACUCUUAGAAAAGAUGUUUUUAGCGGUUCUUCAGUAAAUGUAUACAGUACUGUGUGAAAGUUUUAGGCAUCUAAGCAAAUUUUUAAACAAUUUACCUCAGCAGUGAGUUUAUCACAAUAUACGCUAGAAUAAAGUCAUCCAUCCAUCCAUCCAUCCAUCCAUCCAUUCAUCCAUCCAUCCAUCCAUCCAUCCAUUUUCCAAGCCACUUCUCCUUCAGUCAUCGGGUGGAAGGCAGGAUACACCCUGGACAGGUCGCCAGCCCAUCGCAGGGCUAAAGUCAUAUUCAUAAUUCAAAUAAACAUCAUGAGCACAAUUUAAUGAAGCCAUGAUUGGUCAAACCAGGAGUUGCUUUUUAACUACAUAUAAUACUGGGCUUCCUUGAGGAGAGGUUUGAAAAUGGUUAAACAAACACACAAACACACUAACAUCCAGAAAAUCAC
ensembl:lncRNA